rnacentral:rRNA from 1 species
UACAGAGGGUGCGAGCGUUAAUCGGAGUUACUGGGCGUAAAGGGCGCGUAGGCGGUUAUAUGAGUGUGAUGUGAAAGCCCUGGGCUUAACCUGGGAAGUGCAUCGCAAACGAUAUAACUGGAGUACAAGAGAGGGUGGCGGAAUUUCCGGUGUAGCGGUGAAAUGCGUAGAGAUCGGAAGGAACGUCAAUGGCGAAGGCAGCCACCUGGCUUGAUACUGACGCUGAGGCGCGAAAGCGUGGGGAG